CAGUAGCCGCGGGAAUACGAGGGGGGCGAGCGUUGUUCGGAAUUAUUGGGCGUAAAGGGUGCGUAGGCGGUUCGGUAAGUCUUAUGUGAAAUCUUCGGGCUCAACUCGAAGUCUGCGUGAGAAACUGCCGGGCUUGAGUGUGGGAGAGGUGAGUGGAAUUUCCGGUGUAGCGGUGAAAUGCGUAGAUAUCGGAAGGAACACCUGUGGCGAAAGCGGCUCACUGGACCACAACUGACGCUGAUGCACGAAAGCUAGGGGAGCAAACAGGAUUAGAUACCCCAGUAGUCCCUGUCUCUUAUAC
rnacentral:rRNA from 1 species